rnacentral:misc_RNA from 1 species
GUAGGUGAACCUGCGGAAGGAUCAUUACCAAUCCAAAAAAAAUAAUAAUUUAUCAACACUCUAUGUGAACCGAGAAUGGUUUCGUUCCCUUUCUUCGAGCGAAGGAGGGAGAAGUAUGUGUACGCACACACAACACACUGUUGUGUGCGUCUGUGCCUCUCUCUGCGACGCUCACUUUUGGAAAGGAAGGGAAUGUAUUUUUUUUCCAACCCCUUUACAACCAUAUCAACCCAUUAUACAUAUGCUGAAA